GUUCAAGCCGCCGCGGUAAUACGGAGGGCGCAAGCGUUGUUCGGAAUUACUGGGCGUAAAGCGCGUGUAGGCGGUCUGGUAAGUCGGAUGUGAAAUCCCCGGGCUCAACCCGGGAACUGCAUCCGAAACUGCUGGGCUAGAGUCCCGGAGAGGAAGGCAGAAUUCCCAAUGUAGGGGUGAAAUCCGUAGAUAUUGGGAGGAAUACCAGUGGCGAAGGCGGCCUUCUGGACGGUGACUGACGCUGAGACGCGAAAGCGUGGGGAGCAAACAGGAUUAGAUACCCCCGUAGUCC
rnacentral:rRNA from 1 species